rnacentral:rRNA from 1 species
UACGUAGGGUGCAAGCGUUUGUCCGGAAUUAUUGGGCGUAAAGAGCUCGUAGGCGGUUUGUCGCGUCUGCUGUGAAAUCCCGAGGCUCAACCUCGGGCCUGCAGUGGGUACGGGCAGACUAGAGUGCGGUAGGGGAGAUUGGAAUUCCUGGUGUAGCGGUGGAAUGCGCAGAUAUCAGGAGGAACACCGAUGGCGAAGGCAGAUCUCUGGGCCGUAACUGACGCUGAGGAGCGAAAGCGUGGGGAGCGAACAGG